UACGGGGGGGGCAAGCGUUGUUCGGAAUUACUGGGCGUAAAGCGUGCGCAGGCGGUUUUGUAAGACAGGUGUGAAAUCCCCGGGCUUAACCUGGGAACUGCAUUUGUGACUGCAAGGCUGGAGUGCGGCAGAGGGGGAUGGAAUUCCGCGUGUAGCAGUGAAAUGCGUAGAUAUGCGGAGGAACACCGAUGGCGAAGGCAAUCCCCUGGGCCUGCACUGACGCUCAUGCACGAAAGCGUGGGGAGCAAACAGG
rnacentral:rRNA from 1 species